UACGUAGGGGGCUAGCGUUGUCCGGAAUCAUUGGGCGUAAAGAGCGCGUAGGCGGCCAGAUAAGUCCGGUGUGAAAGUCAAAGGCUCAACCUUUGAAUGCCGCUGGAAACUGUCUGGCUAGAGUCCGGGAGGGGCGAGUGGAAUUCCUGGUGUAGCGGUGAAAUGCGCAGAUAUCAGGAGGAACACCUAUUGCGAAGGCAGCUCGCUGGGACGUAACUGACGCUGAGACGCGAAAGCGUGGGGAGCAAACAGG
rnacentral:rRNA from 1 species